AUGAACGAGGUAUUCAGACACACAGUGAAAUGUGCUUGUUCAAAGAAGUGCGUAGUUUUGUGAUAGUGUGAGAAAACCAGCUGUUUGUGGGACGUUACACGUGAUAUUGGUUGACAAGGAAAAAGAUUAGCCAAGUACGAAGAUCAGCUGAGAUUACAUCAGACGAUACGUGCACGCUGUCGAGGACUUUUCGUUUCAAUUGAUCAACAUCGGGAAUGAUACCACUCCUUACAGCAGUUAUCAUCGAGUCCGUCCCAAAUGCAUGCGACAUACCGAAGAUCUUGACACCAAUUCGUGAG